rnacentral:rRNA from 1 species
GACGAACGCUGGCGGCGUGCCUAAUACAUGCAAGUAGAACGCUGAAGGAGGAGCUUGCUUCUCUGGAUGAGUUGCGAACGGGUGAGUAACGCGUAGGUAACCUGCCUGGUAGCGGGGGAUAACUAUUGGAAACGAUAGCUAAUACCGCAUAAGAGUAGAUGUUGCAUGACAUUUGCUUAAAAGGUGCAAUUGCAUCACUACCAGAUGGACCUGCGUUGUAUUAGCUAGUUGGUGGGGUAACGGCUUACCAAGGCGACGAUACAUAGCCGACCUGAGAGGGGGACGGCCCCCACUGGGGAGGGACAACGGCCCAGGCCCCGACGGGAGGCAGCAGUAGGGAAUUUGCGGCAAUGGACGGAAGUUUGACCGAGAAACGCCGGGUAGGUGAAGAAGUUUUUCGGAUUGUAAAGCUCUUUUUUAAGGAAAGAACGGUUUGGGGGGGGGAAAGUUCAAACUGUGAGGGUAUUUUACAAGAAAGGAACGGCAAACUACGG